GACGAACGCUGGGGUGUGCUUAACACAUGCAAGUCGAACGGAAAGGCCCUGCUUUUGUGGGGUGCUCGAGUGGCGAACGGGUGAGUAACACGUGAGUAACCUGCCCUUGACUUUGGGAUAACUUCAGGAAACUGGGGCUAAUACCGGAUAGGAGCUCCUGCUGCAUGGUGGGGGUUGGAAAGUUUCGGCGGUUGGGGAUGGACUCGCGGCUUAUCAGCUUGUUGGUGGGGUAGUGGCUUACCAAGGCUUUGACGGGUAGCCGGCCUGAGGGGGGGACCGGCCAGAUGGAAGGAGAGAUGGGGCCCAGACCCCGCGGGGAGGAAGAGGUGGGAAAUUUUGCAAAAUGGGCGGAGGCCUGAUGCAGCAACGCCGGUGGGGGGAGGAGGGCUUUGGGUUGGAAACCCGGUUUCGCUUGUGACGAAGGGUGGGUAAGGGAAAGGGGAAAAGAGGAACGGGAAAACUCCGGG
rnacentral:rRNA from 1 species